CGUGGGUUCGGAUUUUCCACAGCCGCACGACACCAGGCCACCAGUCCUCUGUUGCAUGAUCAAAGCCUUAUAAAGGCUUAAAAACCACUUAGAAAAUGAUUAGGACUCCUAAUCAGGUCCAAACAAAGCGCAUGGACUGUCGGAUCAACACCGGGAGCUGCCCACAUCAUUAGAUUGCGCACCGGUCCACGGAACAGUCCGUGGACCG
rnacentral:lncRNA from 1 species